CCUUAAGUCUAUUAAGGGAAGAUGAUAAAACCUAGUUGCUGAAAGAACAGAGGUUACCAUAAACCUCACAGAGUGUUGCCACUGGAGGAAGUUGACAUUUCAGUGCUCAGGCUUUUCAGACUCCUUUGCAGUGCACUGGGAAACAUUGUCCAAUGUCACCGAUGGUCAGGGACACCAGUGGAAAAACAAAAAGGUUGUAACACAGGACUCAAAUGCACGUUCAGAAACAUAUGUUAUUCUUAUCCAUAUCAUUUGUUUGGGUUUUCUUAACUGUAGGCUUUCUACUACUUUUUAUGCACCGAACUGUUACGAUUAGUUAAAUAGCUAUAUGCUGGCUCUGGAAAGAGUACACUGAAAUUAUUUGCAUGGAUACAUUACCUUUGAUCUCUCACACAACCAUCUUUAAAUUUAGAGUUUUUACUACUUGCUCAAGAAUUCAGAAAAAUAAAAAAAAUAUUUUCUUAAGCCAAAGCAGUGCUGCAGUGUGCAGUAUAAAAAAUUGGUGAUUUAAUAGGUGUCCAAGAGCAAAUUGUUUUAUUUCUUUCUGCCUCAAGCAAAGCUUGUAGGAGCUAGUAAGGAGCCACAGUUAGAAGAUAUUUGAGUGUUGAGAAAUGGGGUUCACUCUUCUGCUACAUGAUGAUCUGAAAACCCCAUCAUAGUGGAUUGAAAUAUUUGGUUUGUAUUUUUCAGUUUGGACAGACAGAGCUCCAUUUGUGAGUGUUCCCUGAUAUUUGUCUUUUAUUUGAGAGCUAAUGGGCUUAUUUUCUCUUUUCAAUGAACACAUGUACUGUUCAUCCCAAUUAGAAUGAGGAGAUAUAAAACACUUGAUUUUUUUUUUCCUUCCUAUUCAGCUCUCUCGUGUUUCAUAAUUUGUGUUCCAUUUCUUGGACACUGUUAUAUGAAGAGCCAUUUUGGUUGCUACUUUCAGGAUGAGAAGACUCGAGAGAGUGUGGCAGAGAAAAAUAAUGACGAGGAAAAACACAAUUCCUGCCUCUUGAACAUACUAGAAAAAUCUUUUUGGCUGUGGUAAAUAGCUGUGUUUCCUAGCUUCAUCUCUGCAUAAUUAAAUCCAAAUUCUUAAAAAUGGAUGUGCUCAUUUGAGUCACUUAUUUUAAAAAUAAAAUCAGAGAUAGUAGAGAUGUGGUUUUGGAGUCCAAACUUAAGCUUUUAAAGCAUUAGUAACUGUAGGGUUGAUACAUUAUAUGGUUUUGCUUUCAAAAAAAGACAAGGGGAAGGGCUUUGUCUUGACCUCUGAGUGUUAAAUAGAACCUUUCUCUUGGUAAAGACAGCCCCAUUUUCAGAGCUGUUUUGUGUCCAUCUUUGUACACCAGCAGCUCCAAUCUGUGACUCAGUCUCUGGAGCAGCACUGCCAUGUCAUUUAAGUACCUUAGGGAGACCUGCAGAGUGGAAAUGGUCUUUGAUAGCCUAGCUCAUUUUUGGCUUUUUGAAUUCUUUUCCUUCCCCUUAAUACUUCUGUAAUUGUCAGUAGGAAUAAUCUUCCAUGUGCCAGGAGCUCUGCCUUGAGAGCAGUGUCAUGAAGUUGCUGGGGUUUUUUUGGUGUGCUCCCCAUCAGUGGCCUGGGCAAGCAAAGCAGUGAAAGGUUCUGGGUUUCUUUUGCUGCUAGUAGUGACUUUUUUUUUUUCUUUAAGCAAGGUAACUAUUUUCACCUCCUCCUUAUGAAAAGACACAACGUGAAGCUGCUUGUCUUCCAGCUGCAACAACAUUCAUAAGAGAUUUUAAUACAACAAGCUCUGUCACUGGUGUUCUGAAGUUUUCCUGGAAUUUCAUGGGUGUCUGAAUGCAAAUUUAUUCUUCCCCCCCUCUUUUUUUUUCCUGUUUGAAGGUUAGUUUUCUUUAGGGUAUCACUUCAUUCCUGCCAAUCUGAUAAAGCUAACUUAAUUAAAAAUAUUACCAUUAGAUCAUACAGUUCUCUUUAUUAGUUUAGUCCAUGGGGCUCCUUUUCCACUGGGAAAUUAUUUACUUCAGAAGUUGCGAGAGUAGCCUUGGCUGGCUUUGUUUAAUGCAGCUGCUUUAAAGCUUUCCAUCAGAUUAAUGUUUUUCCAGGUCUUUUCUUGCAGGUACACUGUUACUCAGAGAUAACUGUGAUUGCUCAGAUCUGUGGCAGUUGCUGCAGAGCAGUGCUGGGAUUGGAGGGCUUUAUGGCAAAGCAGACACAAGGAUUUGUUUUGGAUGGUUGAUUAUUUACCCCUUUUCUCUUCUCCUUUUCUUCCCCUCUUCCCUGUGCCCCCAACCCAUAUUUUUUCUUUCCAAGUGAAAAAGUCGUGUUUUGCUGUGUGGACUGUUGGAAGUAUUUAUUUUCUGCUCCAAGGAUUUUUUUGGCUUUACUUGGCAGGGAGAGGGGGGACUGCUAAAGAGCCUAUCCUCUCUUUCUCACGAGCAGUUUUAAGCAAUAACAUUGACAGCUUGUUUAGCUGGAGGUCUGGUCUGCAGGCUUGUAUUUAUACUUCCUAUUCCUUGUGUUGUGGAGGAGCCAUACUGUAGUGGAUGCUGGAAGCAACCUGAAUGUCAUAUGUCAUAUCAUCUGCAGGUACAGAGUGGAGGAGCAGAGCAGAGCAGUGUGUACAUUUUGUGCUCCAAAACACUUGGGAUGUGACCUCAAGCAGGCGAUUUCACCUCCCUUCUGGUGUUGCACUUUCCAUCUUGUAUCUGAUGUUCCUUAUCCUGGCAUGAUCCUUGAUAGCUGUUCAGACCUCAGGACUACUCUGGUGCAACUAAUAGGUGGCAGUGGAACUCAUAUUACAUAUUGGUUUGAUAUACUUAAUUCUUUCAGCACAGACACGUUUUUGUCUUUGCUACCGGUGGAUUUAAUAUAGAAUUGAAGUUGUUGGUUUUUGUGAAAUACUUUUAAAACCCUCAUACAGACUGGAUAAACUGCCUUCAGUGCACAGGCCUAUAGAAGUGAAUUGGCAGUGGGGUUCUGAGUGCUGUUGUAGCCUGGGCAGCCCCACAGUCUGGGCAGUGGAGAGCAGGAACAAGCUGCAGGCCUGAAGGCAUCACUGGCCACAGCUCAGGACUCAUUGCUAACCUGCUCAGUAAUGAUGUUUCGUUGGAGGCCUUUGACAUGGGACUGUUUUUCCCCAGCGUCUGUCUGUGACCUGAUUACCUACAUGUCUGCAUUAGUCUGUACAAGAAUUAAUAUUGCUUGCGCUCAAACACUGUUUUAAGCUGAUCUCCGAAUGUUGAAUCCAUCCUUGAGGCCAAAUCCUCUUCUCCAAAGACUAGCAGUCCUACUGAAGCAAAAGUGAGGAGGCUUUCUCCCCCUCAUGUAGCCUGUUUUAUUUUCAUGGGAAGUGACUGCCUUAGCUUAGGCCAUGCUUAAUGCUUACAUGCAAGCGGCGUUAUUUUUCAAAAUGCUCCCUCCCUCAUAAUUAAAAUUCAUGAACAGUUCCCCGGAGAGCCACCUGAGGUAACAGAGUCUUUUCAGUGCGCCAUUAAUAUACAGGAACACUGAAUACAGGCAUUUGGCUGUGUUCACUCUUCCUCACUCUUCCCUGGCUGGCCGCCUGUAUGUGUUGUGGAACAACAAAACUGAAAUCUGGACAAUUUAUAUUUCAGCAGUGAUGGGAUAUUCUCUCUUUCCCUGUCACUUCACAUUAAGGACCUGCCACUAAUAAAACUAAUUAAUAACUCUUGGCUCCACACAGAACCCUUGGACUCCCCAGUGCUGGCUCUGUGCCACAGUAGCUUUUGAAAGAAGUGCUUCAUCUUAGUCAGGGACAGGAUGAAUAUUUCUGUGCAGUUCUAAUUGGACCAAGUGCCUCGGCAGUUCAAAGGCAGCGGCUUAGCAGGCUGCAGAUCUCUAGGUAGGAUCUGCUUUCACAGCCUCCCAGCCAGGGCACUGGUGUGGCUGGUCUGGGGCUGUGAGGGGGCAGGAGGAGGUGCAGAGCUGGUCCGUGCUGUGGGGCUGUGCCCGCACCCCGGGCACUGGGGGAGGUGUGUCCCACACCUGGACAGCACAGCACGUGGAGGCUGCGUGGUUCCUCACUUGAAAUCCUGUCAAAUGGAUCCUUUGGGCUGUUUUAAAACCAUUUGAUGAAAUGAUAGAGACUGCACUGACCAAAUGACAGCCUUGCUGAAAAGUUCCCUCUCCACGGGAGGCUUUGUUGGCGUUGUGAUGCCACUUGUGGGCGUAUUUUGGUUUCUUUCUUCUCGCUGCUGACAUAACUGUGCCAAUGAAAUUUUGUAGUAUAGGCUGGUCUGGGUUACAUAAAAAUAUUGUUCUGUCUUCUACUCUCACUGCUCUCUUUCCCUUUAGAAAUACUAUUUGCUUGCACACUCUAGCUUUGAGACCCUUUCCACUGCUGUAUUUCUGUUCGAGUGAAGGAAGCAGGCCCUGGUGGGACAUCAUGGUAUGUGUGUUUAUUCACGACCAGAUCUUUAUAAACAAGAGUGUUCUGUCUGAUACAUGUGCAGGACUUUCUACAGGCAUUUGUUCCUGCCCAGGCAGCUGCAGUUCUUUUUUGACACCACCUUCCAAUACAUGUUUCAUUCUGAAGGGACAACACUAUAAGGAAUAUAGUUGGAAAGAAGUUGGCCAGAGAAUUUCUGUUUUAAAAAAUUUAAUGAAAAACAUUGAUGUGGACGUAUGUAAAGGAAACAAAUGGCAAGCAGCAAGCUCUUUUGUAUUUUUUUUGACCUGACAAAAAACUGUAUGACCCCUUACCACCAUGCUCCUGAACUUUCUCCGAGUGCCUCUUUGUAAUUGGUGCUAAUUUUUCAGGCUAAGCUGUUUUUCAGGAAUGGAGAAGGCUUCAAGCUUAAUUAAAACAACUGAGUAGGUUCAUAGCUGGAAAUAUCAAGCAUUGAUUUUAAUAUCCCACAAUGUAUCAAGCAAAUGAGUACCUUUUCUUCAUCACACCCACCAGUUUACUGUCAACAUAAGACACUACUCAUUUAUUGCUAUUAAUUUGUUAUGGCUGCGGAUACUGCUUUACUGACAAAGGUGGAUUCUCUGGCAGAACUUGUUCUGUGAGUAAAAUGAAGCUGCAGGAGGUGGCAGAUGCUGGAUUGAAGGUGGAGAAGGUUGGCAGUGGUGAGAGCACCCACAAACUGGGUGCCUUGUUGAGACUAAGGCUUUCAUAACUCGUGUGUGUCCAUGGUGCUGCAGUGUUUAAUCUGCAUUCCAUGCUAGAAGAAGAAGGGGUGCUUCUGAUUAACUGAAAUAAUGUCUCUGUUGGCAGAAGAAAUAUAUUGACAAAUAUAAUAUGAAGUUGCAGUUUUUUCAGGUUCUCUGUCCUGUUCAUUGUGGAGAAGGUAAAAGGUGUGAAGUGAGUCCAAUUUUUUUAUGAUGAUGUAGUGCCACUGACUCCACUGUCACUGCCCUGGAAUUACACCAGUGAAACUAUACAGAAGAAUUUGCCUCCUGGUCUCGUUGCCAAGUAAACUUAAAAGUGUCAGUAUUAAAUUACUGAGGAGCAGCCCCUUGCUCUGCAGGUCCCAGAGAAGUAUUAAAAUCCAUGUUGUACUGUCAGAGGAGAGUCCCCAGCUCCCAGCUGUAUGCUUUUCCUAGUCUCAUUCUUCCAACAGUUCUCCUUGACAUUGCAUUUUAAUCCUUUCCAGCAGAACAGCCAGUUGGCAGCCUCAUGGUCUCAGAAAAUAUAGUAGUUGUCUCUUCCCCCCCAGCAUGAAAAAGGAGGAAGGUUGGCCGGAAUUAUAACUGGUAACUUCAGUUCCCUCAUUACUGAAAAAGCUUUCAACUCCUGCCAUCUCCUUCAAUUUUCGUGGGGAUGUCAGGAAUAAGAACACGGCCCAGCACAAGUGUGUGUUUCUCUCCAGCUCUCUUGCACCGAGCUGUUUUCAGUUACUUACUUGGGAAGUCAGAGCUGAUGUGCAAGUGUGGGAUCUGCAAGACCCUCCGAUUCUCCUGGGAUUUGCUGUUCCCUUUAUAUCUGUUGCUGCCCCUCCACCUUUGUGUUCCUGUUUGUGGAUGAUUUUUGGUAAUAAAAGGGCUGCGUUUUUCCUGUUGAACAACAGUUGCCUUCACAGAAAUAGUUAAGCUGGGGCUGUCUUUACUCAUCGUUCUUUGCAAUCAAAUCCAGUUUUCUGGGGCAAAAAAAUAGUUUGUUUCUUAGCUUAAAGACUUUUUUUUUUCUUUUUUAAAUGAUAUUUUGUUUGGUUUUUUUAAAGGUGUAAUCCACAAUGGUGCUGUUGGAGGAAGGCAGGUGCUGGUUUAUUAAGUUCCCCCUGUGCUGCACAUCAGGGUGUAGCAGAGGAAGGCAGGACAAUGCUGCCAGAGAUCAGCAGUGCAGGAGAGCUGUCUUGGGGAGCUUGAGGAUUGGGAGAGAGCAUCAGAGGAACUUCAGGUGACAAAAUGACUGGGCGUUUCACAGCACCCAAGCAAGCUUGGUUAUGUAGAUUACAGGAGUGAGAAAUCAGAUUUAGGUUGGGCACAGGUACUGCUGAAAGCAGAGCUGUUAUUGGGCAUGAGUUUUGCAGAGCUGUUCUUGUAAUGAGAGGCCUUUGUUUCAGGGGUUUGAACUGUCGUGUCCUUUUUUCUGCUGUUGAGAUGUUUUUGUUCCAAGGUUAUUCCCUCUACAACCACGUUUUGAUACCAUUAUUUUCGUUUAGAAGAAGGGUACUUUCAGUCAGAAUUUAGCAUGUGAAUGGCUUCUUAUGUGGAGGUUUUGUCUCUUCCCCAAUUUUUGUGCAAGCUCUUUUUAAGGGAAGCAUGACAUGGGUGCAGCUUCAGAAGUGCCUCCAUGUCCUUCAGGUUCCAACCCCUCUGCUGGAAAAUGUGCUCAGGGGAGCAGGGAACAGAGAACGGGUCUGCAGCCACACAGGGAAUCCUUUUACACACACAGUUGUUGAAAAAGAAUGUAAAAAUCGAGGAGGAUGUUUCAGUGAGUCAGAAGCUGAAAUGGAAAAGAAAAUUGAAAUACUACUUAGUGCUCCAAUUUGGCAUGCAGGGGAUAUUCUAAAAUAUCUUGUUGGUUCUGUUAUUGUCGUAGCUUUAUUUCGGAAGUUAGGAAAAAUAAUAAUUUAGAGCCUAGUCUCCUGUAAGUAUGCCUGUUUAAAAGCUUACUUGUUCAAAGAGAUUAUUUAUUUGACUGGGUUUGGGUGGCUCUAGAACAUUGUUCAGUGCUGAGCUUAUUUACCAUUUAAACUUAUAUUGAAUUAUGGUGUUUGGAAGGUGCAUACCAUUUUGCAUCUGUCUCAUAUUUUUGGCUGUUCACUCUCUAAUGAAAUAGCAGUGCAGGCUUUGAUUCCUGUGCAUUUUUUAUAUAUAAGAAUCCUUCUCGGCUUCUGCUUCAUUGUAAGGUUCAUUUGUCAAAAAAUAAAAUAGUUCUUGGUUCUGAUACUUUUGAUGAUGUUAUCAAUAUACAGUGCUGUCUAUAUUGUCUAAACAAGUUGUGCAUGAAAUAAAAAAACAGUUAUAUAUCAGGAGGUGAGGUUUUUAUGAAGUCAUUGCCUUGGGGAUCUUCUUUCCUGUGUUGGGUUCAUGCCAUACACUUCAUAGAAAAAAUACAUCAUUUAUUGGUAACUGUGAAUGUGUUGGAUAUAACUACUUUAUUUUAAGUUGGAGGUUAUGAUAUGUUAGGAUUUUGAUAUUACAGAAAUUGGGAAGAUCACCUGAAAGUUGUAGGGUUUUGUACUUGCCAAAAAGUUCCUGCAUUUCCUCUGAGUUUUCCAUUGGCAGCUAUUAGCACUGGAAAUUUCCUGUAUUUUACAAUGUUGUGAACCUCUCAGUCUCUCUGUGAUUUCCAGGUAAUAUUCUGCAUGGCUGUGCAGACACAAAAGGUGUGAUUUACCUGGUGGGGUUUGAUAGUGUCAGCUCUGCUCCACCAUUAGAUUUGUCAGAGCCUUGGUGUGAAAGUGCUUGUGCACUCGUGUUUUCUUACACAAGUUAAUUAAAUAAGGAUUUAUGACUCCUGAUUUAUUCCCAGAAGCACUUCAUAUAAAUGCAGUACGGGAAUAAUCUGUUGAUAGCCUCUCUUGGUGGUGAUGAAGGGUUUAAGUAAUGUGUAUUUGCAAACAGAACAAGUUCCAGCAUGUUCAUCUUCAUGCUGAACAGGACAGGGAUAAGGCUGGCAGGGAUAGAGCUCAAUUUGAAAAGAGCACUUUCAGAAGAGAGGCUAUGAAAAGCAGGACUGUGGUGGUCCUGAAAAGCACAGUCAGGCUAUUUGCAGGUACUUCAGUGUGGUAUCUAGCAGGUUAUCACUAAUGACAACAAAUGUACAGUAUUUUUUUGUGUGUACGAGUUCUUGCAACAUUAAGAAUAGUGCAAAAAGAUCCUUGGUAGUGUAUGAUAUAUGGUAAACAACAUAAAGCCUGCAUGUAAAACCUGCAUAGUGAUUUUUAUCUUAAACUGCCUUUCAAGUGUUCAUAAUAAAUCUCCUAGUAAUAAAAUCAAAUUUGAAUCUAAAACUAGGGGCAGAUCUCAUGUUACUUCCUUGACUGAAGACUGGUAGUCCAAGUGGAUUGCCUGGCUAGGGAAGUCUCACUCCCACUGAUGACCAGAUGCUGAGGAAGGCUGCUGGGAAAAGUAUAACUGCAUUUCAGCCCCAUUUCUUAUCCUUUAUAGUACUUGUCACUGGAAAUCUCACAAAAUGGCUUCUUAGCAUUCCCUUACAUAGAAUUGUUUGCAGAAAUCCUCUUGCCCCAAAUGGUCUGGUUUCCCAAACACUUUAUGGAAGAGCUCAAGAGUCCUCUGCUGCAGCCAGAGAGUAACAAAAUACCCUUCUGGUAUACUGGUUUUUGCCAUCCUGUGGUACACCUGUUGUUUAGGGCAUGAAGAUACCUGAGAAAAGGAUGUCUGUCUUAAGACCCAAAUGCUUAAUACUCUGUUUCUCUGUCAGAAAUUUGGACUAACUUAGUGUGAUUCCUUUUAUAGGCUAUCGCUCCUCUCCUUCCUUUUGGUUUUUUCUUUUCCUGGGGAAAGAAAAUAUUCAGAUGUCUGCAGUGUGUAUUGUUCUCACAAGAUCCUACAGAGGCUAAAUGGUCUCUUGUGCAAAGCUUAAAAUCCUAAUGUGCAGUUUGCCACAAUAUGCUAAUGUGUUCGUGCUUCUUUGGGACAGGUUUAUAUCUAAAUACCUCACAGCAGUGCUGUAAUGGUAUUGAUGAGAUUCAGGAUGUGUUGGGGAACUUCCUUCUUUUCCUCUGGUACUUGAUGCAAUUCCAGGUACAACUCUGACACUAGAAAAGUUUUAGGACAACAGUUGUUUCUUUAAAAAUGCCACAUACCCAGAAAGGGCUUUGGCCAGUGGCUGUGUUAUGUCACUGGCUGAACUAUUUUUUUUUUACUUCCUCAUUUGUGCAGUAAUUUAAAGGAGAAUUGGAAUUUAUUCACCAAUCUUGAAUUCUGACACAUUCAGUCUAAGAGUAAAAUUCAUGAAAAGAAGUUUCCUGUUUUUUAAUCAGUAUGGAGUAAUGUUCAGCUUUGUACAGACUUUUUAAAGUUAUUUCCUUAUGUAGGACUUUUUUUUUUCUUAAUUCAAACUUCUAAGUACUUUUCAAUGGACUUUUUAAGCUUAGGUCUUUUUAAGCAUCUGGUAUUUAGCACUUGAAGGACUACUUCACUUUCCAUUUUGCAGGCAAGUUUUUAAAAGCUUUUGCAUGUGUUUGCUUUUGGCUGAUUUGUUGUCUAGAUUUUUAGAAAUCUUUUCUGGUGGAAACAUCCUGUAAGUCUGUUUUACCACCUCGAAGCUGUCUCUGCAGGCAGAUAGGUUUAUGUUAAGACUGAAGUCCAUUCUGUAACUCCUCCUUCCCUUCAUCUAUUAUGUAAAAAGGAUAAAUAAUGUAGUUGAGUUCUCGUGUCUGCCUUAUACAUCAGGCCAUCCCUGGCUGGUUGGAGUCCUGGCCCUCCUGCAGGACAGAAUUGCACCAGAAUAACCCACUCUGCUCUCAGGGCACAGAGCUGGUGCUGCCUGACAGAGGCAUUUGGACAUCACACCUAUUUUCUAUGAAGACUUUUUGUCUUCCUGGGACACAGGGACUGUGAUGACCUCUUUUCAACUUGCUGGUUUCCCACGGUGUGGAGGGGAUGACUGGAAGAGCAGCUGAAAUGAAAGAAAAGAGGCUUCUGCUGCCAUUUGCUGAACAGACUGCUUUGCAGGCACAUGUUAGAGCUGAGAAAAAGCAAAGGAAGGAGGAACUGGGGAAGUGUGGAGGGGAGGUGGAGUCUGGGGAAGGAGAGAAAGGCUCCUUGCUCACCAUUCAAGCUCUACUCCCAGUGGAAAGGUGCAGUUCCCCAUUGUGCUGUGAUUUCCCCCCGCCCCAAACACCCCCUAACAACAGAGAUGUUGCUGAAAGCAUGCAAAUGCUUGCAGUGGGGCUGUAGCCCUAAUAAAGUCUGUGUGAAUGUCUGGAGUUUCACGUGAGGUAAAGAAUGAGAAAACUGUCAUGGGGCCAUUACUAACAUGUGGCAGGUUGCUGUGUGAAGCUUGGCAGUAAUUAUUUUCUCCUUUAGAUGGAGGCUCUUUGAGCACAGUCCUAGAACCAGGUUUGCUUUGUUUAUGGGAGUGAUUCAACUUGCCUGGAGCAGCUCUUCCACCUGCCUACUGGGUUUCUCUAGUGCCAUUUUCCCCUCUUAUCAAUCCUUCCAAAAUCUGUCUUCUGGAGUGCCUGUUUUACAGGAUAUGCUGCCUCCUCACCUGUGUCAACCCAAGCUGAAGAGAUACACAGUCUUUUCAAAGUACCACCUUGCAAGCCUUCUUUUUCAGCAUUAAAUUGGAGUACAUGUGUCAAACAACACAGGGGUAGAUAAUGCUGCAUUAUUGCAUUGUAUUGGUGGUUUGAUGGUGGCAACUCUUGUUAAAGCAAUGAAAGAAGUGGGCAGAGGUUCUGUCGAUGGUGCAGCAGGAACAGGCUCUUGUGGGGGGGGGAGUUCUCAGUAGCCUCGUGCUGAACAGUUGAUUUUGGCCCACUGAGGGUUCAUGCUGUGCCCCUUUAGAAACAGCUCCCUCCUUUCCCUAAAGACAACAGGAUGAACAUUUCAAGCUGAUGCAACUUAAGUGAGAUGGGGAUUAUCUUGCUAUGAAGCAAGUUAAUUGUGAAUUUAAAAGAUACUCCAGUGGUCAUUUUUGGGCCUAAGUUCUUUAAAGUAUCUUGACAUUCACUGGAGGAGAUAAUGUGCUUUUUCUAGAAGACACUUUCUGAGCCUACCUAGUGAUUCUGUCAUAUAUUCACCAGCUUUAAACAUUUGCUCUGAAAUGUUUCAUAUUUAGUAUAGGGCUAUGAAUAUGAAAACAUGGUAUUUCAGAGUUUUGGGGGAAGUUUUAAACAUGGGCUUCUACAUGUUAGAUUUCCCUCUGCAUAGAUGAUGAUUUAAGUUUUUUUCUUUUAAAUUAAAGACAACCCCCCUGAACUCUAAACUUUAUAUAACAUCUAGGAACACAUUUGUCUUUUCCUGUGGUGUAAGUGAGAAUGUAUAUGCCUAUAUAAAUAUAUACUGGCACAUGUUUUUUUGCCUUCAAAAUGGCUUGUGGGCCAUCAGUGAACAGACUGCUCAGUUACUAUGCUUGGAUUGCUUAUUUAAUACUUCCAAAUUUAAAUAUUUUCUGUGUUGGUUUGUUGCAAAAAAAUGCAGUCAGAAAUUAAACCUGGCAAUUUAUUUUUCUGCAGCAGAAUUGCUCAUUGGGUGAAACAUGUAUUUCUCCAACAAAUGGUGGCUUUCUCCUGUACUACAGACAUUCCAGUGCCUGUGAUGUAAGUAGGAGCAGUAAGGACAUUGAAUGGGAAAUACCUUCAUUGUAGUGUCUUGGGAUAAGAAAAUGUAAUUCUGGUGUAGCAGAGGAGUUUGAUUCUUUAUUGUGAGGGUGGGGAGGCCCUGGCACAGGUUGCCCAGAGAAGCUGUGAAUUCCUCAUCCCUGGAAGUGUCCAAGACCAGGUUGGAGGGGGCUUGGAGCAACCUGGGCUAGUGGAAGGUGUCCCUGCCCAUGGCAGGGGGUUGGAACAAGAUGAGCUUUAAGGUCCUUUCCAACCCAAACCUUAUUAUAAUUCUAUGAUUUAUUUUUUUUUAAAUAUGGAAGUGCAAAUUAAUGUGCUUGUAAUGGAUGUAAUGGGAUGAGCUGGUUCACUGGAAUUGGGUACAGUGCAGACUCCUGCUGUUUCUCCAAGUUGGUACUGAAGUAAUGUUUUAUUAAUGUAAAUAAAUAAUAUUCUCCAGUAUUACAGAACAUCCCACGAGCUUUAUAGGCAAUAGAGGUUCUUGAUCUGAAAAUGCCCUCUCUGAUAAGCUUUCAUACAUCUAAGGCAGACCAGCUUCUGUCAUAGGUCACCUCAUUUGCUAAUGACUCAGAAUUCAGAUCAGGUAUUUGCAGUCAAAUUAACAUGCAGAAAGAGUAUUUCUGAAGGUGUUUUUCUCUAGAAAAAGAAAGGGCAGAAUUCAGACUAACAUUUAGAAAUGAAAACCACUCUUAGUCCCAUGGCAUUGGUUGCUACAGGGAAUAUGGAAAAAGGGUGAAUAAUAAAUACAAUGGAAGUAGUAUGCUUGGAGAUGGGGGCCAGUUAUGGCCUCAGAAUUAUUUGGACAGUCUGAGCUUCCAAAGGCAAAAAUAGGGGAGCAGCAGAUUACAUCUCUCCAUUUGGUGGAAGCAGGAAGGUCAGGGAUGGUGCAAGGAGUGUUUGCAUGGAGAUAGAAGGAAGGAACAAUGGCUGGGGGGAAAAAAGGAAUAAAAGGGUUAUGAUUCUGGUGAGAUUUACAGGGAAUCUGUUCUUCAGGUGACUUAGGCCGUUUAGUGGAGAGCCUGUGAGGAGAGAGAAGCAUUCCCAGCGUUGAUCUGUUCCCUGCCAUCUGGAUGGUGGCUGUUAUCUCAUGCUGUUCCUUUGUGCUGGUUUGUUUGGUGCCCCAGAUUGAUCAGCUCAAAGCUCAUUUCAAAAUACAUCCCCAGUGUUCACAACACGUUUAUUCUUAUGUGAUAAUUACUGGUGCAGAAGAAAAGUUUGUGAAUUUUGUUUCUUUCCAGCUGGAAGACGUUUCCAGCCGUUACAGUGAACAAUGCCACCAGAUGCUACCAUCUUCCCAUCUCCUCCCCCCAGUGCCUCAGCAAGACAAAGCCCUGUUAGGGCUUCAGAUCACCUGUGCAGCUGCUCAGAACGUGAAGGACGGUGGUGACCCAGCAACAGGAGAGGAAACAAAGUGAGCACUGAAACUGUUCAUCACUGUGGUACUUUGUUAAUGAUUCUUCUGGGUAGCAGCAAUAAUGAGCAGUUGGAAGAAGUACUUUAUGUACCCUAAAUAAAUUGCUUCCAAACCUCGUAA